rfam:Parasporobacterium paucivorans DSM 15970 genome assembly, contig: EJ69DRAFT_scaffold00014.14
UUUAACGAGAGUUUGAUCCUGGCUCAGGAUGAACGCUGGCGGCGUGCUUAACACAUGCAAGUCGAACGAAGCAUGCAGGACGGAGUUUUUCGGAACGAAGGAAUGCAUGACUUAGUGGCGGACGGGUGAGUAACGCGUGGGUAACCUGCCUUAUACAGGGGGAUAACAGUUAGAAAUGGCUGCU